rnacentral:rRNA from 1 species
UACGAAGGGGGCUAGCGUUGCUCGGAAUCACUGGGCGUAAAGCGUACGUAGGCGGCUUUUUAAGUCAGAGGUGAAAUCCUGGAGCUCAACUCCAGAACUGCCUUUGAUACUGGAGAGCUUGAGUACGGGAGAGGUGAGUGGAACUGCGAGUGUAGAGGUGAAAUUCGUAGAUAUUCGCAAGAACACCAGUGGCGAAGGCGGCUCACUGGCCCGGUACUGACGCUGAGGUGCGAAAGCGUGGGGAGCAAACAGG